rnacentral:rRNA from 1 species
CCAGACUCCUACGGGAGGCAGCAGUGAGGAAUAUUGGUCAAUGGGCGGGAGCCUGAACCAGCCAAGUCGCGUGAGGGAAGACGGUCCUAUGGAUUGUAAACCUCUUUAGGCGGGGAGCAAUGCCGGGCACGCGUGCCCGGAGGGAGAGUACCCGCAGAAUAAGCAUCGGCUAACUCCGUGCCAGCAGCCGCGGUAAUACGGAGGAUGCGAGCGUUAUCCGGAUUUAUUGGGUUUAAAGGGUGCGCAGGCGGCCCGGCAGGCCGGGGGUCAAAUCGCGGGGCUCAACCUCGCUCCGCCGUUGAAACUGGCGUUCUUGAGUGGGCGAGAAGUAUGCGGAAUGCGUGGUGUAGCGGUGAAAUGCAUAGAUAUCACGCAGAACUCCGAUUGCGAAGGCAGCAUACCGGCGCCCAACUGACGCUGAAGCACGAAAGCGUGGGUAUCGAACAGGAUUAGAUACCCUGGUAUU